rnacentral:rRNA from 1 species
UAGGGAAUCUUCCGCAAUGGACGCAAGUCUGACGGAGCAACGCCGCGUGAGUGAAGAAGGAUUUCGGUUCGUAAAACUCUGUUGUUAGAGAAGAACAGCGCAUAGAGUAACUGUUAUGCGUGUGACGGUAUCUAACCAGAAAGCCACGGCUAACUACGUGCCAGCAGCCGCGGUAAUACGUAGGUGGCAAGCGUUGUCCGGAUUUAUUGGGCGUAAAGCGAGCGCAGGCGGUCAAUUAAGUCUGAUGUGAAAGCCCCCGGCUCAACCGGGGAGGGUCAUUGAAAACUGGGUGACUUGAGUGCAGAAGGGGAGAGUGGAAUUCCAUGUGUAGCGGUAAAAUGCGUAGAUAUAGGGGGGAACACCAGUGGCGAAGGCGACUCUCUGGUCUGUAACUGACGCGGGGGCUCGAAAGCGUGGGUAGCAAACAGG